rnacentral:lncRNA from 1 species
AUGCUAAGGUCUUCCAAUCAGAAGGUGCGGUGCAUCAGGGCUGUCGAGGAGCUCGAGAGAAGCGCACAGACCUGGGUGGCCCACCCACCCGAGGCGGGCCCAUCCAGAGCCCCGGGCCGCGGUCCACGCCCCGAGCCCUCUCCUUUGGGUGGAAGCCCUGGUACAUCACAGAGAUGCCCGGCUCCUAGGACCGGCAGAGGCCAAUCCCCGCUGCCCCAGGGGCCGGGAGAGAGCGUGGAGCUGCCCGGGCGGGGAAGGAAGCCUCUUUCUUACCUACACGAGCGUCCUGAGCCAAGCGCUGGUCUCAGAACUGGGUCACCUCAAAGGACAUGUUCUUCCGGUUCAUUCUGCCUGAAGCCCCUCUUCUCCACCCUGGCAUUUCACACAAAGCAGUUCCAGCCCUGGAAACACAAAUGUUCCCCAAAGCUGGGGCGUGCCGAGCUGCACACAUCUGCUCCCUGGUUUUAUUUAGGUAAAUAAAUAAAAGAGGGCCUUGGGCUUAUAUGUGAUGUUUAAAAUGAAAAGUUGUAACUAGAAGGAGUCUAGAGAUUUCUUUAUUUUUACUAUUAUUUUUUACAUUGCUGGAGUUGAACCCAGAGCCUUGCACGUGCUAGGCCAGUGCUCCAUCUCUGACCCACAUUCCCAGCCCUAACCGUUCGUUAUAUCCCUC